UGGGGGAUUUUGCACAAUGGGCGCAAGCCUGAUGCAGCGACGCCGCGUGAGGGAUGAAGGCCUUCGGGUUGUAAACCUCUUUCGCUGGGUUGAAAGGCCAUGCUUUGGGUGUGGUUGAUUUGAACUGGUAAAGAAGUACCGGCUAACUACGUGCCAGCAGCCGCGGUAAUACGUAGGGUACUAGCGUUGUCCGGAUUUAUUGGGCGUAAAGGGCUUGUAGGUGGUUUGUCGCGUCUGUCGUGAAAUCCUGUGGCUUAACCAUGGGCUUGCGGUGGGUACGGGCAGGCUUGAGUGCGGUAGGGGAGACUGGAAUUCCUGGUGUAGCGGUGGAAUGCGCAGAUAUCAGGAGGAACACAGGUGGCGAGGGCGGGUCUCUGGGCCGUUACUGACACUGAGGAGCGAAAGCGUGGGGAGCGAACAGG
rnacentral:rRNA from 1 species